rnacentral:rRNA from 1 species
UACGUAGGUGGCAAGCGUUGUCCGGAAUUAUUUGGCGUAAAGCGCGCGCAGGCGGCCUCUUAAGUCUGAUGUGAAAGCCCCCGGCUCAACCGGGGAGGGCCAUUGGAAACUGGGAGGCUUGAGUAUAGGAGAGAAGAGUGGAAUUCCACGUGUAGCGGUGAAAUGCGUAGAGAUGAUGGAGGAACACCAGUGGCGAAGGCGACUUUUUGGCCUAUAACUGACGCUGAGGCGCGAAAGCGUGGGGAGCAACAGG